GUCGCCGCGGAUUCGGGCAGGCCGCGGAGGAGUCUAGCUCGUUCUUCCCAGCCUCCAAGCCCCGUCCCCGUCCCGUCCCGUCCCGAAGCGAAUUGCUUCCCCGCGAGAUUGGAGCACGCCCGCCACGGCAGGAUCCCAAAACUCUUCUACACGCUCCCCCUCUCGCCGCCGCGUCCAAUCCGAAGUAGCAGCCGCGCCGCCGACCAAGCCUUCCGAUGGCGGACAAGGAGCCCGUCGUGGAGCGCCACGUCGCGGAGGAGGAGGGCGAGGGCUCCUCCUCCGCCGCGGCCGCCGCCGCCGGCGAGGAGGAGGACACCGGCGCCCAGGUCGCCCCCAUCGUGCGGCUCGAGGAGGUCGCCGUCACCACCGGCGAGGAGGACGAGGAGUCUCUCGUCGACAUGAAGGCGAAGCUAUACAGGUUCGACAAGGACGGGAACCAGUGGAAGGAGAGGGGCACGGGCACCGUCAAGCUGCUCAAGCACAAGGAGAACGGCAAGGUCCGCCUUGUCAUGCGCCAGGCCAAGACGCUCAAGAUCUGCGCCAACCACCUCGUUAUCUCGACCACCAAGAUGCAGGAGCACGCAGGCAGCGACAAGUCCCGCGUCUGGCACGCGGCCGACUUUGCUGAUGGAGAGCUCAAGGAUGAGAUGUUUGCCAUCCGGUUCGGCUCCGUGGAAAGCUUUGAUCCAACUUGACACGAAGGUGUCGAGCCGGGUUCAUCUUAGAUGGGCUCAAGGAUGCCUGACAGCCUGCACCGUGACAUCAACUAGUUGUUGAUCGGCUGGCGCUAUGCGCUCGCUCUGUUUUCAAUGGGCAGCUUUGUGUAUGUUUGCCCCACCCUCUUCAUGCUCCCUGGUGUAACUGUUACGAGCAGAGAAGCCAUGAGCAGGUAUGAAGGACGAGCUACUGCGGAACAACCUGGAGCUAGAGAACCUGAAGACAACUUGUACAACAUCAUUUUCUAGCAAGAUGCAUGCUGGAGAUCCUGAAGACAACACUAGUGAAAUUUUAUGUUUAUAUUGUAAUAACGAGCAUGAUUGAGUCUUAUUGCUCCAAGUCACCGUGACAAAAGUUUAAUGUUCAUACUAAUAAUGAGCUUGACUGGUUCUUGUUGCUGCAAUGUAAUUGAUUAAUUUGCUAA